AUGGGCCGCGGCCGUGCCAGGAGGCGCCCUCCGACACCCUCCGACUCCUCAUCGUCGGACGAGGAGCUCCUGCUGCCGGUCGGCGUGGAAUUGGACGAUGAGGACGAGGCGGACCAUGAGUCGGAGGACGACCACGAGCAGCUCAUACUACUUCCGGUCGGCGCGGAGGUGGAGGUGCGCAGCGACGACCCGGGCUUCGCCGGCUCCUUCUACGAGGCCACCGUCGCCGGCCACCUGCUCUCCGGCGGCCGCCGCGGGCGCUACACGGUGGAAUACACCACGCUCCUGGCCGACGACGGGGACGACGAGCCGCUCAGGGAGACAGCGGCCGCCGCCAACGUGCGACCGCGGCCACCACCGGUCGAGGAAAGGGAUAGGGAGUUCGCGGUCCACGAGAUGGUGGAGGCGUUCCACAACGACGGGUGGUGGGCCGGCGUGGUCUCCGCCGUCCUCCCGCGGCCGGUGAUGGCCGGGGAUCGCCGGCAGCCGAGGGCGUACGUGGUCACGUUCCCCACCUCGCGGGAGACGCUGGAGUUCGGGGAGGCGGAUCUGCGGCCGCACCGCGUGUUCGAGGACGGCCGGUGGGUCCCGGCUGCAGAGGUGGACAAUGGAAGUCCUUUGUUCGGUGAGGGAAACCAAGUUGAAGUGAGUGGAAAAUCCUUCGGCGCAUCCUGGAGUCCAGCUACUGUUCUUAAAGUGAUUGGUGCUACAAAUUUUCUAGUAGAGUACAUGCAUAUUGAAAAUGACGGGGAAUUGGCCACUGAGAUUGUCGAUUCUCAAGAUAUUCGGCCAGCACGCGCCAUCACCCGUAUGGACUCCAAGUACAGAUUUUCUCCUUCUUCUCAUGUCGAGGUCCAUCAUGAAGAUAGUUGGUGGCCUGGUGUUAUUGUUAAGGUUUUAGGUAGUGGAAUCAACAAGAAGUAUGUGGUGAAAUUGAAGAAUCACGAGACAGACAUGGAAGACGUGCAACCUGUGGAUGUUUUGACGGUUCAAAAUACGCAACUAAGGCCACGGUUUGACUGGGACGGUAAAAAAUGGGUACGCUGCGUGAAAGAGCCUUCACACCAAAAUUAUGUCCAUGAGAUGCAUCCAUUUCAGAAAUCUUCUCGAAAAAGGCUAGUUUCCGCCUUGUAUGAUGACUCUGAUAAAAUCAGUAAUGAACGUGAUUCUCAUCGUGACAAAAAGUUGAAGAAUGAAGAUGUGAUAUCAGGAAAAAAAUCUCCUCUUUCUCUGUCCAUUUGCAAUGAGAGCAAUGAAAUUACUCAUAAUCAACGGAAUGCAGUAUUGGCAUUACGGUCUAAGCUAUCACUUCCUUCACUGCCACCAAUGACAGCAUUUAACCAGCUGAGUUCAUCUUCACUUGCUCCAAGCUGUCAUCUGGAACAAUCAUCCUCUCAGAUGAUUAUCAUACCCUAUACGCCACAAAGUGGACAGUUACGAGCUUCCUUAUUUGGAGAGUUACGGGCUGCUGAAGCUAUUGAUGAAGAGAGCAACAUCAUAGCUGUCUCUGAACACUUAGAUGAACUGCCUAAGGAUGUGACUGCUGGAUGCGGAAUACUUCCAAAAAUAAAUAUGGCAAGUCACAUUGACAUCAGAGGUUCACAAGAGGGUAGUGUAAUAGAUGAUCUUCAGCAAGGAGGCUAUGUUGGUGAAACUAGUGUUGAGCAGGACACUGGUGGAGAAUUAUGUCAGAGGUAUUUGGCUAUGGCUGAUAAUGCCAACGUUCCUUUGUUGCCUUCAGCAGAGAGUUGUGAAGCUAAUUUGCACGACAACCGGCUCUCCAAGGACAACACAGCAGCUUCGGUGGAGUGUGUUACUUGUUAUGCUGCUCCAGCCGAGGACUUGUCUCUUAUACCUACUUUAGAUGGUGUUGUACCAUUAGAGUGGGAUUUGGAGGUCAAUAUAACUGAAGAUAUGGAUGAGGCGAACCAUCAAGGGAGUGUAGUUGGGUUAGCCAGCAAUGGGCAUCAUAAUCAGUAUACUAGUGUUCACUGUCCAUUCUCAGCCACAUCUUUAACUGCACUUGAGGAUGACAUGAUUACCACUGAAAGUCCAAGCGGGGAGUUCUUAUGCAGUAGCCAAUCCAUCGAGAAGUCGACAGUAACUCGGUUGUCUUCUGUUGGCAUGAACAAUUAUAGUGUGACAGAACCUGUCGAUGAUAGCUUGGCCAUAACAAAUGGUGUGGAGGGUACACCAGUACCCAGGUAUGUUGCAAGCAGAACAAAUGAUUCUGCCUUUCCCUUGUCGCCGGAAUCUCUAGCGGUGCAUGAGAGUACCAUGGACACGAACAGCCGCCUUUCAGGAUCCUUGGCAUUCCAGCAUCUUCCAUUUGUGAAGACCUCCCCAAUGUGGGCGCAUCUCGAGGCACUGGAAAUUUUCAGGAAAGCGCCACAGCGGCCACAUUUUCGUCAUUUCCAGCAGUAUUGUCCAGAGCUCCGCGAAGGGAUGGCAUUAGGUUUGAUGCACUCUUUUGCCAAUUUAGCAGAAAGCAUAAACAUGCUGGAUGUUCAGGGUGACAAAGAACUACUACUCGAACAGAAGAUGAAGAGCCUCGCUUUGCUCGAGGAGAAUGGUUUCGAUGUCACGUACCUGAGAUCACGCGUGGAAGCUUUACUCAAAGCAGAUAAUAGUCGCGUCGAAGAGCUGGAGGAGAAGAUUGCCCGCAUAGAAACCUACGACCAAGAACUCGGCACGCGAGUUCGCGCGCUGGCUAUGACAGUCCAUCGUCUCGAGCUACAUGCAUAUCUUAUGCGCAACAUGAUGCGGUCUGCCAUCACGCGGAAGAUGAGCAAUGCUGUGAAGAUCUCAAGACUCAAAGCAGAAGCAAACGAUCUUGAGAGAUCGUAUCUUUCCAACGCCGCGCCUCGGUGA
rnacentral:rRNA from 1 species